GCCAUGUUGGCCUGGCUGGUCUCAAACUCCUGACCUCAAGCAUCUGCCUGCCUCGGCUUCCCAGAGUGCUGAGAUUACAGGCGUGAGCCACUGCACUCAGCCAACUUAUAUUCAUACAUGCUUAAUCACAGUUGCUAUAUAUCACAAAUGAUGCUGGAUGAAGAAACAAGUAAUCAAAGGCUGUAUACUUAAUAACUGUUGUUCACACUGAAAUUUCUUAGGCUAUUAAUAUCUAAGUUCUCUUCUGUGACUUUAGGCUAUUUUAAAAAGGGGGAAAAAUACAGAAACCUUGUUACCAUGGAGACUGUAAGCCGGUCAGCCCAUCUGCUGAAGAGGAUAUAUAAUUUUUUAAUAUUUACUAAACUUAUAUGGCGUUCCUGAUGCCUAUUCUGUCAACCUGGAAAGUGCAAUGACAAGGAUGUACCAGUUCUUUGCCUCUUUGGAGCUUACAUUCCAGUGAGAAUUGACAGAAAUGAAAAUAGAGCUGUCCCAAUUUUUAGCCUUCACAUGGCAACUCAGCUAGAGACUGCAUUUCUCAGCCUCCUUUGAAGCUAGAUGUCGCCUCAUGACAAAGUUCAGGCCAAUGGAUUAUGAGCUGAAGAAAUCUGUUUAACUUCUGGGUCAUCCCUUUAAAAAGGAAGCUGCUUAUCCUCCUUUUCCCCUUUUGAGCUACCUAGAAAAUGGUAAUGACUGUAGGGGUCACACUGGAUCCAAAGAUGGAAUCUAAAUGUUGAAAAUGGCAAAGCCACCCAACAGCCUACGUCCUUGGACCACUGAUCUCUUGGAAUACAGCCAACCACCCACGCUGAACUGCCCACCUUCUUGUAGACUGUUAAGUGACAAAGAAAUAUAUAUUGAUCUUUUGGUUUCAGUAUUACAGCAGCUUAGCAUAGACCCAGGCAGAGUUUCACAAGCCAGUGUGUGGUCCACCAUGUCUCUCACACCCUCUUCUGCAGCAAACAGUAAUGUUCUACAUGGUGCCUGCUCUACUGGAGAAAGAACAGUGAGUUAACCCCAGCUAACCCACCAAGAGGCAUGCAGAGUGAGUGCAAAAUAAACCUGUGUUGUGUUGUUGUUGUUAUUUUUGUUGUUGUUUUGAGACACAGUCUCACUCUGUCGCCCAGGCUGGAGUGCAGUGGCUCGAUCUAAGCUCACUGUAAGCUCCGCCUCCCAGGUUCACGCCAUUCUCCUGCCU
rnacentral:lncRNA from 10 species